rnacentral:misc_RNA from 1 species
AACGCAAAUUGCGCUCUCGGGAUAGGCCUGAGAGCACGCCUCUUUGAGCAUCGAUUCUACCACAAGUCGACGACGUCCUUGCAAAAGGAUGUGCAGUCGGACAUUGAGCCUUGCCGGCCGUUCGCGGCUAAGCUGGCUUCAAAUAGAGCGAGAUACACAGCGAUCCUUCUGACACAUCAGGAGUGAUUUGUGACGUGGAUAACUUCACUACUCGUGAACCUUCCAAUACGUGACAGUCUCUCAUUCAACUGCUGUGCUAGUGGAAAGCAACGUGUGUUGGAUCGUCAUUCGUGACAACUCUUUUGAAUUAGAUCUCAAAUGAAGCGAGACAACCCGCUGAACUUAA